UACAGAGGUCCCAAGCGUUGUUCGGAUUCACUGGGCGUAAAGGGUGCGUAGGUGGUCGGGUAAGUUUAAGGUGAAAGCUCUGGGCUCAACCCGGAAAUGGCCUUGAAUACUAUCCGGCUCGAGGGUUGGAAGGGGGACUGGAAUUCUCGGUGUAGCAGUGAAAUGCGUAGAUAUCGAGAGGAACACCAGUGGCGAAGGCGAGUCCCUGGACAACACCUGACACUGAGGCACGAAAGCUAGGGGAGCAAACGGG
rnacentral:rRNA from 1 species